GGGAAGGCUACUGGCCGGAAAGCGCCGCUGUGGCUGAGAGCGAAGUUUCAGAGACUCUUAUUUAAACUGGGUUGUUACAUUCAAAAAAACUGCGGCAAGUUCUUGGUUGUGGGCCUCCUCAUAUUUGGGGCCUUCGCGGUGGGAUUAAAGGCAGCGAACCUCGAGACCAACGUGGAGGAGCUGUGGGUGGAAGAGGUAAACCUCCUUUGCGGUGGACAAACUUCGACCCUUUGGAAUUCCUAG
rnacentral:sRNA from 1 species